rnacentral:tRNA from 1 species
CAAGCCCCGCGGNGGAAGCACANCGAAAUGCAAGUUCGGAUAAGCACCCCCAUAAGGGUGCCGGGGCUU